CAGAUAUUUAGACACUCAUCUGUUUACAAGAAAGAAGUAUGGCGAUGAACUGGAAAAAAAAGCAGAGGAACAUUCACCAGGAUCCAUUGGCCUCCUACCAGCAGCUGCUAAAGUAAAGGGAAAUAGGAACAGUAGUGAAGAAAAGAUAAAUGGAGGUGAAAAUUCCAAUUGCCUUGAAGGCCAGAAUAAUACAGGGUCAGUCAGUCACCUCCCAGCAAUAAACAAGAGCAAAUCCUUAAACAGACUUGAACACUCAUCUCUCUGUACAGUCCUGUAACGUUUUGGAGUCUCUCUCGGGUUAAAAGUCGUGAUUUUCAUUUCAUGUCACUCUAAACUUAAAUAGAUUCAAUUGUGUGAAAUAGAAACUAGUGGCAUGUAUAUCUAAGAGUUAGAGUUAAGGUUAGGCUUACAGCUAGAAUUAGAAUUAGAAGCAACAGUGCUGAG